GAUCAUGGCUCAGGAUGAACGCUGGCGGCGUGCUUAACACAUGCAAGUCGAGCGAAGCAAUUUAAGUGAAGUUUUCGGAUGGAUCUUAAAUUGACUGAGCGGGCGGACGGGGUGAGGUAACGCGUGGAUAACCUGCCUCACACAGGGGGAUAACAGUUAGAAAUGACUGCUAAUACCGCAUAAGCGCACAGUACCGCAUGGUACAGUGUGAAAAACUCCGGUGGU
rnacentral:rRNA from 1 species